ACCCUCUAGUUCCCUUUCCCGUCAGAUCUUAACACUGGUCUUGGUGGUUGUUAAAGGAGGAAAAGGAGGGGCGCCUGGGUGGCUCAGUGGGUUAAAGCCUCUGCCUUGGGCUCAGGUCAUG